rnacentral:rRNA from 1 species
GGUGAACGCUGGCGGUAGGCCUAACACAUGCAAGUCGAACGGCAGCACAGUAAGAGCUUGCUCUUACGGGUGGUGAGUGGCGGACGGGUGAGGAAUACAUCGGAAUCUACUUUUUCGUGGGGGAUAACGUAGGGAAACUUACGCUAAUACCGCAUACGACCUACGGGUGAAAGCAGGGGAUCUUCGGACCUUGCGCGAUUGAAUGAGCCGAUGUCGGAUUAGCUAGUUGGCGGGGUAAAGGCCCACCAAGGCGACGAUCCGUAGCUGGUCUGAGAGGAUGAUCAGCCACACUGGAACUGAGACACGGUCCAGACUCCUACGGGAGGCAGCAGUGGGGAAUAUUGGACAAUGGGCGCAAGCCUGAUCCAGCCAUACCACGUGGGUGAAGAAGGCCUUCGGGUUGUAAAGCCCUUUUGUUGGGAAAGAAAAGCAGCAGGUUAAUACCCCGCUGUUCUGACGGUACCCAAAGAAUAAGCACCGGCUAACUUCGUG